UACGGAAGGCAGCAGUGGGGAAUAUUGCACAAUGGGCGCAAGCCUGAUGCAGCCAUGCCGCGUGUAUGAAAAAGGCCUUCGGGUUGUAAAGUACUUUCAGUCGUGAGGAAGGUGUUAAGGUUAAUAACCUUAGCAAUUGACGUUAGCGACAGAAGAAGCACCGGCUAACUCCGUGCCAGCAGCCGCGGUAAUACGGAGGGUGCGAGCGUUAAUCGGAAUUACUGGGCUAAAGGGCACGCAGGCGGUUAAUUAAGUUGGAUGUGAAAUCCCCGGGCUUAACCUGGGAAUGGCAUUCAAGACUGGUUAGCUAGAGUCUUGUAGAGGGGGUAGAAUUCCAUGUGUAGCGGUGAAAUGCGUAGAGAUGUGGAGGAAUACCGGUGGCGAAGGCGGCCCCUGGACAAAGACUGACGCUCGAUGUGCGAAAGCGUGGGGAGCAAACGAGGAUUGAUACC
rnacentral:rRNA from 1 species